rnacentral:rRNA from 1 species
AUUGAACGCUGGCGGCAUGCUUUACACAUGCAAGUCGAACGGCAGCGCGGGCUUCGGCCUGGCGGCGAGUGGCGAACGGGUGAGUAAUACAUCGGAACGUGCCCAGUAGUGGGGGAUAGCUCGGCGAAAGCCGGAUUAAUACCGCAUACGACCUGAGGGUGAAAGCGGGGGAUCUUCGGACCUCGCGCUAUUGGGGCGGCCGAUGGCAGAUUAGCUAGUUGGUGGGGUAAAGGCCUACCAAGGCGACGAUCUGUAGCUGGUCUGAGAGGACGACCAGCCACACUGGGACUGAGACACGGCCCAGACUCCUACGGGAGGCAGCAGUGGGGAAUUUUGGACAAUGGGCGAAAGCCUGAUCCAGCAAUGCCGCGUGUGUGAUGAAGGCCUUCGGGUUGUAAAGCACUUUUGGCGGGAACGAAAGGGACUGUGCCAAUACCACGGUUCGAUGACGGUACCCGCAGAAUAAGCACCGGCUAACUACGUGCCAGCAGCCGCGGUAAUAC